rnacentral:rRNA from 1 species
UACGGGGGGGGCAAGCGUUGUUCGGAAUUACUGGGCGUAAAGGGCUCGUAGGCGGCCAACUAAGUCAGACGUGAAAUCCCUCGGCUUAACCGGGGAACUGCGUCUGAUACUGGAUGGCUUGAGUUUGGGAGAGGCGAGUGGAAUUCCCAGUGUAGCGGUGAAAUGCGUAGAUAUUGGGAGGAACACCAGUGGCGAAGGCGGCUCGCUGGACCGGUUCUGACGCUGAUGCGCGAAAGCGUGGGGAGCAAACGGG